GUGCCGAUGUUAACAAGAGGGCUUCAGGCGACUCUCCCCUGCACAUCGCUGCACGUCUGUCCAGCCCUGAGUUAGUUUCUGCCCUCCUCCACCACGGAGUGGACCGGCUCAUGGUGAACUCGGAGGGCAAGCGGCCUCUGGACCUGGUUCCUCCUGACAGCCCAGUGGGGCGACUGCUGAGAGAGACAGGAGAGUCUCCUUUAAAGCAGCUGUGCCGGAUAUGCAUCAGGAAAACUGUGGGGAAGCAGAGGCUGGGUGGGAUUCCUGACCUUCACCUCCCCACAAGGCUGAUGCCAUAUCUGCUCUACCAAUCAGAGCAGAGGGAUGCUCACAAACACUGCAAUCACUUCCAUCUUUCAAUCCCAAACUCUGAGCACUUUCACAUUCAGGCCAGCAGGGGGAGAACUUGCACAACCUGGCAGGAUAAUUCCACUAGGAGAGCCUCAAGAUAAGCGUGAGCUGAUUUAUUAUGCAAAUAAAGAAACUUCUUGUUGGAAGAUGCUUUCAUAAAAUAUUCAUUAGCAAUAACACAUAUCAAAUGAAAAUAAAAUCAAAGCACACAGACCUCUGAAAGACUAGCUUUAACACAACAUAUGAAUCCUCAUUAAUGGUGCAUUUCUUUCCAUGUUGUAAAUAAAAGCUGGGUCAUAUAGACGUAUUAAAAUACACGAGACAAAUGUUUCUACCAAUUUAUUUUCCAGUUAAAAAAGAAAAAAAAACAAAUCUAACAAUUAAACCAGAAUACACAGAAUACCUUAAAUAAAAGUUCCCAUGUCUUGGGUGGUUUCAUCUGGGUUGGAGAAAAAAAUUAUUUAAAAUCUUUAAUGUUUUAUUUAUUGUCAUUGCUGCUUGAAUUGAACUACUUGAAAGCAAUGUUUCCAAUUCUGUUCUCUUUUAAUUUGUAGUGCUUGUUUCCAAUGUGUUUAUUUUUCCAUUUCAACCAUUAAUAAGACAUGACUUGUUUUGCAAAGUGUUUCAAGAUGACAUUUGUUGUGAAUUGGCAUUAUGCAAAUAAAUUGAAUUGAAGAUUCAUCUA